UGUUGAGGCUUUGAACGAGGACGCAUGAGUAUGCGCGAUAGUAAACGCUGCGUACACACACUCGCACAUAAUCACUCAUACUCUAAGGACUGCUGCUUCAGUAGAAAGAGAGGCAGAGAGGUGACGGCAUCCAAAGCCAAGGUGACCCUCUCACAUCUAUCAGCUGCUGGGAAGUGUGUGCACGACCGGGAAAUACAGUGGGCUCCAGAGGCGACAGCAUGCACACUUAAUAUGGUUUCAUCCCGGCAUGUUAGACAUACACACCCAGCUCUGGAUGAAACCUUCUGUUACCUGGUGAUCUUUCAGCGAUCCAACGCCCCAAACUGCUGCUGCAGUUCGACUGUGUUACUACGUUUCCUGUGCAGCCUGUAGCCAGUCAGCUCGGGAGUGAUCCCGACCAGCACCGUCCCCUCAUGUCAAUCAGCUCACAGCCCACAUGUCAGGAUCCUGUGAGUGACACCUGCCAGCAGACAAUGCAUCUCUCCGCUUUCCCAUUACGGCGGAUCCUUCAAGGCGAUGGACCCCCCCUUCCUUUGUCCUUUAAAUCCAAGGGGGUACAAAAAAAAUAAUCAAUGCUGCUUUAGUGUAGCUUUGUGACCACACACAUAAUAGUAGGAUGGUGAGUGCCUGGUAGAAGGGUAGCCCUGCUGAGGGAGGGGCUAGAGAGCUUAUCUUUAGAAAAAUCAAUACAUAGCUUGUAAUGAUACUAACAACAAUGUCACUAAAUUCAGUGAAAAGCAUUGUUUCUACUGCAGUGUUUUGUUGAAAGCACGCCUCUUUUGGUUUAUUGAUUCAUAUAGAUAAAGUUCUCAUCAUUAUAUGUCAGUUGCGGCUUUGCAAUAAAGAAAGAAAAUGUCGAAGCAACAAACUAGAGCACUUCAGUCACCGAUUCUCUCCGCCGUGUUUCAUUUUUACCGUUCCAGCAAUGGCAAAGAGAUUCGAUUUGGCUGUGCUACGGUCAUUUAAGGCUUCAAAACCUCUUGGUAAGAGGUGCAGAGGAGAAGCUCCCUCCCUAAAAAAAAAAUGAAAGUGAUGUAGGUAAUCACCUCUUGAGAGAGGAGAGAUAAGAGAUGGAGAAAUGAAGAGGCACGCUCCCGGGGUUAAGCACACUUGACCUCAUGGCCGUUUGUAGGAGCAGCCAAAGUCAAAGCCUGAUGCUGAAGAAGUCAAAUUAAACUCAGUCUUGCUCCAUGAAGGGGAAUA